CGAAGGUAUCGAGUCAGUCCUUUCUAAAAUCUGCCAAGGGAAAGUGGUUGUGCUCUCUGUCUUAGAAUUCCGUGCCCUUUCAAGUAAUUCAUGAUGGCAGAAGAAAAAGAAAAGGCGACUGAUAAAUGGUCCUUUUGGUUAGAACUAGCCAAGACCGUUCUUAUAUUUUUGGCUGUGUGCGGAUUUGGUGCGAUGUUUUUGGGUUAUAAUGUCAGCACGUGCGUGUACGCCGCGGCGGGCAUGAAAAUGUGCUGGAUGGCUUCCCGGCAGCUGAUGACGGCGUGACACCCCGUCCAGGCGUCCACCUUUCCAACAAAGACUGUAUAUCCAUCUACGCCAAAUGCAUCUCUGCCCUCCACCUCCCUCCUUCCCUCGCUAGGCUUCAAGAGCAAGGAACGCGGGAACCGACAGCACGACGAAACCGAAAAACUCACUGGACGCGGCGUCGCCAAUGCUGCUAGAAAUAGGAUUCGAAAAAAAACCAUUUGCAGAUUUCAAGUAAAAGGAAACUAUUGUCUUAACAUCCCGUCGCGCAAGUACAGCUCUGAUUAAACUUUCUCCUAUUUCUA